CUGGGGAUAGCUCAGCGGUAGAGCAUUUGCCUGGCAUGCCUGAGGCUCUGGGUUCAAUUUCUAGUACCAAUA
rnacentral:tRNA from 1 species